UGAGUCGGCCGGGUGAUCGCGGCGCGCCGUACCGCCACGCAUGUGGGCUGGCGGCGGUCGAGGAAAGUCCGGACUCCGCAGGGCACGGUGGUUGCUAACGGCAACCCGGAGCGAUCCGCGGGAAAGUGCAACAGAGAGUAGACCGCCCAGCGUGCUGGGUAAGGGUGAAAGGGUGCGGUAAGAGCGCACCGGCGCGGCUGGUGACAGCUGCGGCCAGGUAAACCCCACCGGGAGCAAGGCAAGAGCCGCUGCCAGUAGUUGGCAGAGGUCGUCGGACGCGAUGAGGCUGCCCGCCCAUGUCCGAAGGUAGCUGCUUGAGGCCCCCAGCGAUGGGAGGUCCAGAUGGAUGAUCGCCACCCGCAGCGCUCGCUACGGGAACAGAAUCCGGCUCAUAGGCCGGCUCAUUCG
rnacentral:RNase_P_RNA from 1 species